CGGGAUUUGAUCCUGGGACCCAAGGAUCAUGCCCUGAGCCAAAGACAGACACUCAACUGCUGAGCCACCCAGGCAUCCCUUAGUUUUUUAGAACAUGACAGAAUAGUUUCAAAAUGAUCCACUCGAUGGAAACUGGUUGUCUCCGAACUGUUAAAUACUAUGCCAGGUGGCAGUGAUUCCAAGAUACAUGCAUCAAAUCCAGUAGGGGAGACAGACAAAAACACACUUGGCAUUAAUAUUGUUCAAUAUGUGCUAUAAUUAAAUAAUAUCUCAAUUAGAGUGAGAGCUCAGCAAAAAAGCACCCAAGGAAAGCUUCAAGAAGAAAAGGCCCUCUGAGCUGAGACCCACUCACUGGAUGCUUGUUGAAUAAAUUCUGUGGAUGAUACAGAAGUUGAGUGGAUAAGAGAAUUCCAAGCCAACUUUGAAGGUCUUCAAAUGAUUUCCCCCAUGUAGAAAUCCAUGUGUAGUCCAUUAUGAGAAUUUAUUAGGCGAGGUUAGAAAUAAAAGGUGCUAUCAUACUGCCUCCCAUUGUUUUGUAAGGAGUAUUGACAACAGUCUAUGGAGAGUAACAGAGGGCAUGGGCUCCUUGAAGAUAUUUGAGCUGGUAGGUGAGCCACCUAUUAGUGGUUUGCAGUAGGUCCCCCUGUAGAGGUGAGAUGAAUGGAAUGGUUAAGGCAAGAAUGUAUGUCCAUCUCCACAACCAAGUGAAUCAGUAUCAUGGUUUCCCACCACAUAUAGAUGAGAACACUGAUCGUGAGAACCUUGGAUGACAAGCAGAGGUAGGAUUUGAACUCAGUCCUGGCUGUCUUCCAAACUCAGCUGGUUUCCCUGUUACAUCAUGCAUGUGAUCAAGGUGACACUACUUCAACUGGCUACACUUAUUUCUGUCAUAAUAACUAGGCAGCAGUAACUAUAUUUUUGUCUCUUCCCUUUUUUGGUAAUAUUAUAAGAUAUUUAGGAAGUGAAGACACUCGCUGGACUGUGAGGCAAUUUGUCAUGACCAACUAUUAGGUCUGAGCUGUCCCAGAGCCUCUGACAGUACAGUGUUCUGAGGACUCCACAGGAGGUAACGACAAGGACAUGCAUAUGGAACAAGGCAGCGCAUGGUGGUGCAUUUCGGCACUGUGUACACUAACUUAUUGAUUUGCUGCUCUCUGAGCCCAAAUUAGCUCCCGCUGAACCUUGCACUCUGGAGAGAUGAGAAGUUCCCUGUUGCAUUCUUUCAUCGUAUUUGGAGCCUCCCUCCACAGCCUACAGAUGGGCAGUGGGGGAGAGCACCAGCAGAAGUCUGAGUCUUGGAUUAUCACCAGUUGUCAAAUAAUAAACUGCCGAAGGACCAGUGCCCAUCGUGUGCCUGUAUCCAGAACAGAGGAUGUCACAUCAAAAUGAAGUUCCUGGGUAAUGACCAUUCUCUU